rnacentral:rRNA from 1 species
GUGAGGAAUAUUGGUCAAUGGACGGAAGUCUGAACCAGCCAAGUAGCGUGCAGGAUGACGGCCCUAUGGGUUGUAAACUGCUUUUAUGCGGGGGUAAAGUGAGUGACGUGUCAUUCAUUGCAAGUACCGCAAGAAUAAGGACCGGCUAAUUCCGUGCCAGCAGCCGCGGUAAUACGGAAGGUCCUGGUGUUAUCCGGAUUUAUUGGGUUUAAAGGGAGCGUAGGCCGUCAGGCAAGCGUGUUGUGAAAUGUCGUGGCUCAACCAUGGACUUGCAGCGCGAACUGCCCGACUUGAGUGCGCAGAAAGCAGGCGGAAUUUGUGGUGUAGCGGUGAAAUGCUUAGAUAUCACGAAGAACCCCGAUUGCGAAGGCAGCCUGCUGUAGCGCUACUGACGCUGAAGCUCGAAAGUGCGGGUAUCGAACAGGAUUAGAAACCCGAGUAGUCC